rnacentral:rRNA from 1 species
GUGCCAGCCGCCGCGGUAAUACGGAGGGUGCAAGCGUUGUCCGGAUUUAUUGGGUUUAAAGGGUGCGUAGGCGGCCCUGUAAGUCAGUGGUGAAAGACUCCGGCUCAACCGGAGACCCGCCAUUGAUACUGCAGGGCUUGAGUGCAGAUGAGGCCGGCGGAAUUUGUGGUGUAGCGGUGAAAUGCAUAGAUACCACAAAGAACACCGAUUGCGAAGGCAGCUGGCCAAGGUGCAACUGACGCUGAGGCACGAAAGCGUGGGGAGCGAACAGGAUUAGAAACCCGUGUAGUCC